rnacentral:rRNA from 1 species
AUACGGCGAAACUGCGAAUGGCUCAUUAAAACAGUUAUAAUCUAUUUGAUAAUGUUCUUAUAUGGAUAACCAUUGGGAAACUAUGGCUAAUACAUGCUCAACAGCUUCGGUUGUAUUUAUUAGUUUUGACCAGUCUUGUACUGUGAGGAGUCAUAAUAACUGAUCGGAGCGCACUAGUGUGCGCUAAAUCUUUCGAGUUUCUGCCCUAUCAGAUUGUUGGUAGUGUAUUGGACUACCAUGUCUAUCACGGGUAACGGAGAAUUAGGGUUCGAUUCCGGAGAGGGAGCCUGAGAAACGGCUACCACAUCUACGGAAGGCAGCAGGAGCGAAAAUUGCCCAAUCCCGACACGGGGAGGCAGUGACGAGAAAUAACAACUCUUGGUUAUUCUAAGAAGUGUAAUGAGGAUAAUUUAAAAACCUUACCGAAAGGGAGCCUGAGAAACGGCUACCACAUCCAAGGAAGGCAGCAGGGCGCGCGCAAAUUACCCACUCCCCGGCACGGGGAGGUAGUGACGAAAAAUAACGAUACGGGACUCUUCCGUGGCCCCGUGAUUGGAAUGAGUACACUUUAAAUCCUUUAACGAGGAACCAUUGGAGGGCAAGUCUGCUGGCAGCAGCCGCGGUAAUUCCAGCUCCAAUAGCGUAUAUUAAAGUUGUUGCGGUUAAAAACUCGUAGUCGGAUGUCUGUCUUCGGCCGGGCGGCGCCGCUCUGAAUCAAUGGUGUUGCGUUUCACGCUCUGGGAGCCGGCGAUGUUGUCCGACCGUGAAGAGAGUCGGGCUUUGACAGCCGGAGGGGUGGCCGGUGGGUCGCGCUGUAUCGGUCCGCGCGGCGUUUCGUUUUCUUCCUCUUCGGGGUUCGCUCCGUCGGGGGGGGGGGAGAUCGCUCGCGUUCAGUUGCGGCGGUUCGCUCCACCCAGUCAAUCGUUCGGGGUUGCCCUUCACCGGGUGUCUCGGGCGGCCGGCCAACGUUUACUUUGAACAAAUUAGAGUGCUUCAAGGCAGGUGUAUCCCAACGCCUGAAUAUCGCAGCAUGGAAUGAUGUAAUAGGACCUCGUCCGAUUUUUCUGGUUUUUCUUUUGGGACCCGAGGUAAUGGUCAAUAGAGACGGACGGGGGCAUGCGUACUGCGGCGACAAGGUGAAAUUCUUGGACCGCCGCAAGACGAACAGCAGCGAAGGCAUUUGCCAAAGCAUUUUUUCCUUGAUCAAGAACGAAAGUUAGCGGUUCGAAGGCGAUCAGAUACCGCCCUAGUUCUAACCAUAAACGAUGCCAACCAGCAAUCCGUCGGAGUUAACUCCAAUGACUCGACGGGCAGCUUCCGGGAAACCAAAGUCUUUGGGUUCCGGGGGAAGUAUGGUUGCAAAGCUGAAACUUAAAGGAAUUGACGGAAGGGCACCACCAGGAGUGGAGCCUGCGGCUUAAUUUGACCCAACACGGGAAAACUUACCAGGUCCAGACAUAGUAAGGAUUGACAGAUUGAGAGCUCUUUCUUGAUUCUAUGGGUGGUGGUGCACGGCCGUUCUUAGUUGGUGGAGCGAUUUGUCUGGUUAAUUCCGAUAACGAACGAGACUCUAGCCUCCUAAAUAGGUGACGGGUUUUAUCAAUUGAAACCUAAGGGAGUACGGAGGCGUCGGGAUCAGGUGGCGGCGGUUCGGGGGGAAGGGGACGGGUUCUUUAGCGGGGCUCUUUUCGCGGCGUGGAUUCGGUUGGAAGCAAAAAGGAUGGGGGAGUUGGUGUUCGGGGUUUCGGCUCCGGGCGUUGGCUUUUUCUUUUCUUGCGUUUCCUGCCGGGCUGCGUCGCGAGGGGGGUUUUGCGGGGGCUCGGUCCUUUGUUUCUCGGUCGUCGUCAUCCCCGGCGAUACCUUCUGCUCUCGCGCCCGUCACGCAGUCUUCUUAAGAGGGACAGGCGGCGUCCAGCCGAGUGACAGUGAGUUGGUGGAGUGAUUUGUCUGGUUAAUUCCGUUAACGAACGAGACCCCCGCCUGCUAACUAGUCGCAUCAAUGCCUCGGCCUUGGUGUCGGCUUCUUAGAGGGACUUUCGGUGACUAAUCGAAGGAAGUUGGGGGCAAUAACAGGUCUGUGAUGCCCUUAGAUGUCCUGGGCCGCACGCGCGCUACACUGAAGGAAUCAGCGUGUUUCACUCUCCCUGUCCGAAAGGACCGGGACACCGCUGAACCUCCUUCGUGGUUGGGAUUGGGGACUGCAAUGAUCCCCAUGAACCAGGAAUCCCUAGUAGGCGCGGGUCACUAGCCCGCGUCGAUUACGUCCCUGCCCUUUGUACACACCGCCCGUCGCUACUACCGAUUGAAUGAUUUAGUGAGGCCUUCGGACGGGCUUGUCGGGGUGCCGUCGCGUGGGGAGCAAUCUCUGCGCGCGCGGUGCCUACCAACGGCGAGACUGAAAGAUGGUCGAACUUGAUCCUUUAGAGGAAGUAAAAGUCGUAACAAGGUUUCCGUAGGUGAACCUGCGGAAG